CUAAAUAAACAGUGACGUAGAAAAGGCAAUCUGCAUUGAUUCUGGAGCUGCAGUGUGUCUUCUUUGUCUCUGUCACUUGG
rnacentral:miRNA from 1 species